GGAAGGGUGAGAACCUUCGACUAAGGUUCGAUUCGAGCGAAAGCGAGAGAACGUUGCCGCAGGCAACGACCCGAAGGGCGAAGCGCGCAGCGCUGAGUAAUCCUUCCCCCACCACCA
rnacentral:sRNA from 1 species